GUGCUCACUUCAGCAGCAUGUGGGUGAAAAUGGGAACAUAGAGAGAAGAUUCGCAUGGCCCUGAGCACGGAUGGCACGAACAUUUGCGAAGCUUUCCGUGUGUUU
rnacentral:snRNA from 1 species